rnacentral:rRNA from 1 species
CUACGGGCUGCAGCAGGCGCGAAAUUUCCGCAAUGCGCGAAAGCGUGACGGGGGCAGUCUGAGUGCCAUCCUAACGGAUGGCUUUUCUCGAGUUUUAAUUGCUCGGGGAAUAAGUGGUGGGUAAAACUCGUGCCAGCCGCCGCGGUAAUACGAGUAGCACUAGUGGUAUCCACGAAUAUUGAGCUUAAAGCGCCCGUAGCCGGCUCGGUCAGUUCCUUGUGAAAUCUGUCGACUCAAUCGACAGGCUUGCAGGGAAUACUACCGGGCUCGGGAGUGGGGGAGGCAAGAGGUACUCUAGGGGGAGCGGUAAAAUGCUUUAAUCCUUAGAGGACCAACAGUGGCGAAGGCGUCUUGCCAAAACACGUCCGACGGUGAGGGACGAAGGCUAGGGGAGCGAACGGGAUUAGAUACCCCUGUAGUC